GUGGGGAAUAUUGGACAAUGGGCGAAAGCCUGAUCCAGCCAUGCCGCGUGUGUGAAGAAGGUCUUCGGAUUGUAAAGCACUUUAAGUUGGGAGGAAGGGCAGUAAGUUAAUACCUUGCUGUUUUGACGUUACCGACAGAAUAAGCACCGGCUAACUUCGUGCCAGCAGCCGCGGUAAUACGAAGGGUGCAAGCGUUAUUCGGAAUUACUGGGCGUAAAGCGCGCGUAGGUGGUUUUGUAAGUUGGAGGUGAAAUCCCCGGGCUCAACCUGGGAACUGCCUCCAAAACUGCAUGACUAGAGUACGGUAGAGGGUAGUGGAAUUUCCUGUGUAGCGGUGAAAUGCGUAGAUAUAGGAAGGAACACCAGUGGCGAAGGCGACUACCUGGACUGAUACUGACACUGAGGUGCGAAAGCGUGGGGAGCAAACAGGAUUAGAAACCCUGGUAGUCC
rnacentral:rRNA from 1 species